AGGGUAAUAGCUCAGUGGUAGAGUGCGUGCUCAACGUGCACAAGGUCCUGGGUUCAAUUCCCAGUACCUCCA
rnacentral:tRNA from 1 species